UCACUUUGGAGUGGCAAUGGGAGAAGAUUUGGAGCCUUUUUUCUUCUUUUUUCAUCAUUAAAGAAAAUGAAAUAUGUGCACGGGAAGAUAAGCUCAGAAGCAGAUCAAGGAUGAAUGCCUUUAGAAGGGAGAUAACUAGCUACUUCCUCAUUCUUGCAGCUCCUUUUGGUCUAUGAGUUCAAUAAUACUCAGAAAAACCACACAGAGUUCAUUGAGGUGUGAUGUUCAGCCAUCUGGAAAACCCUGGUCAAGUGCUGUCAAUGUCACCACAGCAGUCCUGCCCACUGCUCAGUCCUGUUCCUAUUCCAUUGUCCGUGGCUUACAGCAUUCCCAGAGUAUAUGCCAACAGGAUCAAGGAAUUUAGGCAUCUUUGGCUUCAAUAUGCACUAAUG